UAGACUGGUGUGACAUACUAUUCACACCUCUCUCUCUCCCUCUUAGUAAGUCCUGUACAUCUUAGAGCUGUGCCUGGACCCGGCAACUCUCGUCUCGCUGCUGCGACUCUUCUUACCUAAGAAGAAGGAGACAGAGGUUGUGCCAGCGUCAUGAAGAGAAGGAAGGCGCCUGUUGAAACCUGGAGUUUAUUUGAUGUUCACAUCAGGUAUACUAGAGAAACAUAUGAUGAAGCAAGGCGUAAGCUGCCUAUGGCUGUGGUCCAUUCUGAUCUUCAGACAGAGGAGGAUGACCACCCAGCAUACAUGAAAAGAAA